GUCUGCUUGAAUCGAAGGGAUAACUUUCAUGAACACACCCAAAAUCGCAGCUAGUCAGAGGCAAUAUUUUGAUAGAAUGACUACUCUUGUUGUGAAUGCGAUACAACGCCUGAUUGUCUAAUAUUAGUUGACAGUUACAGUCAGUGUUUCACACUGUGAGUUAACCUACAUUAAACAUUACUUCUUACAUUCGAAUCCACGCAUCUUAUCUAGCUUGCAAGCCCGCUAACGGGUGCCUCUCCUGCAUCAGCUAUACAAUGGAUGAAGAGUUAGACUGCAAACCAAGUGUUACGCCCACUUGUAAGACUGAACCGGAUCCUAUGGAACCGAUGGAUGCCAUACCUAACAUUAAUGGUUUAGAAGCAGAACAUUUGGGAAUUAAGGUGGAGGUCAUUGAAGUAGAAAACCCGAAAGAGGAGGAGGUGGAUGAAACCUAUUCGGAUGCCCCGCACACCUUUCACUUUGUGACAACGACGAAGGAGGAGGAAGAUGAGGAUGACGAAGAUGAAGUGUCUGAUUUGAUGGGACCAGUGGAAGACGAUAUUGACGAAGCAGAAGAGGAAGCCGAAGCUGAGGCGAUUGAUGACUUCUCAUCCAGUAGGUGUAUCUUCAGAAUUUAAUUAACGGACAAAUACAAGACUACAGUGAAAUGAAACACAGAUCCCCUUGAACAGUGAAAUCAUCAUCAUAGAGUGAUUUGAAUGAAUACAUAAUUGAC
rnacentral:lncRNA from 1 species